AGGGGAAAAUUCCAAGGGUUUAUUCCUGAAUUUUGGAAGGAUCCAAGGGAAAAUUCCCAGGUUUUAUUCCUGAAUUUUGGGAAGGAUCCAGGGGAAAAUUCCAAGGGUUUAUUCCUGAAUUUUGGGAAGGAAAUUUGGGAUAAAUUCCCAAGGAUCCAGGGGAAAAUUCCCAGGUUUUAUUCCUGAAUUUUGGGAAGGAUCCAGGGGAAAAUUCCCAGGUUUUAUUCCUGAAUUUUGGGAAGGAUCCAGGGGAAAAUUCCCAGGUUUUAUUCCGGAAUUUUGGGAAGGAUCCAGGGGAAAAUUCCCAGGUUUUAUUCCUGAAUUUUGGGAGGGAGAUUUGGGAUAAAUUCCCAAGGA